AACUGCGAGUGAAGCGGGAAAAGCUCAAAUUUAAAAUCUGGCGGCCUUUGGCUGUCCGAGUUGUAAUUUAGAGAAGCGUCUUCCGCGCUGGACCGUGCACAAGUCUCCUGGAAUGGAGCGUCAUAGAGGGUGAGAAUCCCGUCUUUGGCACGGACCCCCGGUGCUUCUGUGAUGCGCUCUCGAAGAGUCGAGUUGUUUGGGAAUGCAGCUCAAAAUGGGUGGUGAACUCCAUCUAAAGCUAAAUAUUGGCGAGAGACCGAUAGCGAACAAGUACCGUGAGGGAAAGAUGAAAAGCACUUUGGAAAGAGAGUGAAACAGUACGUGAAAUUGUUGAAAGGGAAACGCUUGAAGUCAGUCGCGUCGACCGAGACUCAGCCUUGCCUUGGCUUGGUGUACUUCUUGGCUCGACGGGUCAGCAUCAAUUUUGUCCCUCGGAUAAUGGCAGGGGAAAGGUGGCACCUUUACGGGUGUGUUAUAGUCUCCUGUCGCCUGCGAGGUUUGGGAUUGAGGAACUCAGCACGCACCUCGGUGUCGGGGCUUUU
rnacentral:rRNA from 2 species